UACAGGGGGUGCAAACGUUGCUCGGAAUCAUUGGGCGUAAAGCGCACGUAGGCGGUCUGUUAUGUCGGAUGUGAAAGCCCUUGGCUUAACUGAGGAAGUGCAUCCGAAACUGGCAGGCUAGAGUACUAAAGAGGGUCGCGGAAUUCCCGGUGUAGAGGUGAAAUUCGUAGAUAUCGGGAGGAACACCGGUGGCGAAGUCGGCGACCUGGGUAGAUACUGACGCUGAGGUGCGAAAGCGUGGGGAGCAAACAGG
rnacentral:rRNA from 1 species